CCUACGGGUGGCAGCAGUGGGGAAUAUUGGACAAUGGGGGCAACCCUGAUCCAGCCAUGCCGCGUGUGUGAAGAAGGCCCUCGGGUUGUAAAGCACUUUCAGUGAGGAAGAACGCCUGGUGGUUAAUACCCAUCAGGAAAGACAUCACUCACAGAAGAAGCACCGGCUAACUCCGUGCCAGCAGCCGCGGUAAUACGGAGGGUGCGAGCGUUAAUCGGAAUUACUGGGCGUAAAGCGCGCGUAGGUGGCUUGAUAAGCCGGUUGUGAAAGCCCCGGGCUCAACCUGGGAACGGCAUCCGGAACUGUCAAGCUAGAGUGCAGGAGAGGAAGGUAGAAUUCCCGGUGUAGCGGUGAAAUGCGUAGAGAUCGGGAGGAAUACCAGUGGCGAAGGCGGCCUUCUGGACUGACACUGACACUGAGGUGCGAAAGCGUGGGUAGCUAACAGGAUUAGAUACCCCAGUAGUC
rnacentral:rRNA from 1 species